GUGAUGUGUUGGUGACUAGUGCUUGGUCAACCUUUGGCUAUGUGGCUCAAAGUCUUGGAGGUUUGAAACCAUGGAUUUUGCAUAAGCCAGGGCAUGGAAUAUACCUUCCUUGUAAACGAGCUAUGUCUAUGGAGCCUUGUUUCCAUUAUCCUUUCAGUUAUGAUUGCAAGUCAGAGAACAAACUUGAUGCUGGUAAUCUUGUUCCUUAUAUAAGGCAAUGUGAGGACAGAGAGUUGGGGGUGAAGUUGUUUGAUGAUCAUAAAGAACUGAAGUAGAACUUUCUGUAAGUAGUAUAUCCCAGCUUGAUGGAUUUUAGCCUGCACAGGGUUGCAGGUACCCAAAAUUUACUAUAUACCUCGAAGACAUUGACAAAGUAGAGCCC
rnacentral:misc_RNA from 1 species